rnacentral:rRNA from 1 species
GGCAAAAAGAUCCGUAACUUCGGGAAAAGGAUUGGCUCUAAGGGUUGGGUACGUUGGGCUUUGGGUAGAAGCUCUGGGAGCAGAUCGCCACUAGCCGGGCAACCGGUCGGCGGCUUUCAGCAUCCGGGGUGGACGCCCAUGGCAGGCUUCGGCCGCUCCGGCGUACGGUUAACAACCAACUUAGAACUGGUACGGACAAGGG